GUCCACGAUCUGCGGGCAGAUGAAGUGCACGUGGCAGUCGAUGCCGCCCGCGGUCAGGAUCUUCCCGUUGCCGGACAGGAUCUCCGUCGACGGCCCGAUGACCAGCGACGGGUGCACCCCGUCCAUCGUGUCCGGGUUGCCCGCCUUGCCGAUCGCGACGAUCCGCCCGUCCCGCACGCCGACGUCGGCCUUGACGACACCCCAGUGGUCGAGGAUCACCGCACCGGUGAUGACCAGGUCGGGAGCACCCUCGGCACGGGUCGCGAUCCCCUGCCCCAUCGACUCGCGGAU
rfam:Lechevalieria aerocolonigenes strain NRRL B-16140 contig90.2, whole genome shotgun sequence.